CUGAAUUGCGAAAGGCUUCCUGCUUUAACUGUUGCUUCAAUGCCAUUCCCAGAGCCCAGCUGUUAGAACUGAUAUUCACCUUUAAAUUAGUAGAGAUAAAUAGGUUUCACUAAUGUUCGUAUUUCUUGGUUUAGAUAUACUUGAGCCUUACUGUUGGAAAAGCGAAAGUGGCCUUGAAGAGAAACUUACACCAAGGACAGAAUGACAAAUAGGAGAAACCCAUGCUUAGGAAUACAAUUCUACAAAAAAAAGAAAAAAAAAAUCUGUCAAACCUCCAGAAAAGCAGAUGAUAAAGGAAGAUUGUCAGUAAAAAGGAUUCAAACAACGAGAUUGUAGCCUGAGAAGAGAAGGACCAGGAGCACACUCCAUCGAGCAGUCACAGUCAAGUGUGUAAGUGGCAGGACAGGAGGACACUGUCCCGAAGGACCACCCAGUGUCCCCUUCGCCAAGAAAUCACCUUGAGAACUGGACCUGAGAAGGAGAUCCAUGAAGGGAACAUACUUGAAUCUUCUGGUUUCCUGGAGCCCAGACUGACCCAGCACAGUUACAGCUGCCCAUUGCCCAUUAGGCCUGUGGCUGUGAGCCUUGGGCAGACUCCUGUUCAGAUGAACUUCUAUGCUUCUCUUCAUUUAAACAAAAAACAAACCGGAUUGAUGUUUUUGUUUUACUCUUACCACCAAAGAAAAUUGUUUCAACUUGUUUAAAGUGCUUCCCAGGGCAAUGAUAUCUAACAAAAGAUCAUUUGUAAGGGAUUCAUUUCAAAAUGCAUGGCCUUGCUGUAAUGUCCACUAUAGAGAAAGAUCUUAGCUUAAAUUAUACCACAGCUAUUUUAAAUGGAUUUUUAAAUUAUCUACCUUUGCAUUUCAUCAUGAAUGUUUCAGGGAAAUUAUCCUGAGAUAAUGCCAACAAAUGGCUGCAGACUUUAGGUUUAUAAUUGCUCUUGUUCAUUUAAGGUUCCCAGCAGACCAUAUCAGGAAAUUCAAUGCCUGGCAAGUCGAGGUUGAUAAUAUACCGUAACUGGCAUUUUCUUAUUAGACGAGCACCCAAAUCAGCUUUCAUUUGUAGCAAUGACCCUAAUUAAGAGAAUCAUGAUUUAAAGCCGAGUCUUUGCAUUUUAAGAAUCAGAUCUGGAUAUGGUGAUGUUAGCCAAAGCGUUAUUUUUUUCCUAGAAAAUUGGCAUAAUCUAACUUUAAUUUUAAUUUUUCAAAAGUAUUUCACAUAUUUUUUUUCAAUUCCACUUUGAGAAGCUUCCUUCAAGCUGCUGAGUAUGUAUAUGAAUAGGUAAAAAUGUUUACCUACACAUCUUCCUUAUACAUAUGCAUACAUACUUCUGUCUUCACUAAAUGAUUUGGCUUUGGAGCUGCAAGAGAUGUGAGUAAAAGAAUCACUUAAUGUGAUCUCCACCAUCCCCACUCUCAUAAGUGGAAAAACUGAGGACUUGGAAACUAAGGUAGUUUGCUUUGGAUCAUCAGAUGGCAAAGCCUCUUGAUGAGAUGUAUAACCCCUCCCCCAAAAAGUACCUCUGAAAGAUAUUAUGUGUGGUAUAAGUUAAUGUCCCUGACUUUUCUUAAUUUACCCGGUCAACAGAAAUCAUUCAUUGCUAUGGGCCACAAAUGUGAUCACCCUAAAAUUUUAUAACAUUACUCUAAGGGACCAUUAUUACCAUAAAAUUAUCUCGUAGCAGAGUGUAAGGAUCUUUAAAUA
ensembl:lncRNA